rnacentral:rRNA from 1 species
UACGUAGGGUGCGAGCGUUGUCCGGAAUUAUUGGCGUAAAGGGCUCGUAGGCGGUUUGUCGCGUCGGGAGUGAAAUCCACUGGCUUAACUGGUGGCUUGCUUUCGAUACGGGCAGACUGGAGGUAUGCAGGGGAGAACGGAAUUCCUGGUGUAGCGGUGAAAUGCGCAGAUAUCAGGAGGAACACCGGUGGCGAAGGCGGCUUGCUGGGCCAGUUCUGACGCUGAGGAGCGAAAGCGUGGGGAGCGAACAGG